UUUCUUAGAGAGCCAAGACAGAGAUUUUCGGUCACUUUGAGCUGGAUAAAAACCGUGUGAGUUAGCUCUAUUCCUAGCUUAUCUUGAUCACCAAAUGAUUUGAGGGUUGCAUGUGAAAUUUGGAGGAAAUUGAGCAAGGAAUUGAGGAGAGAGGGUGGAGGAAUUUUCUGGUUUAGCUCUCCCUUGGCUGCUCGGCUGUUUGUGCGUAGGAGAGGAAUGAAAUGC
rnacentral:lncRNA from 1 species